UUACAUCAUGGCUUGGGCCAUCAGUAUAUUGCAGCGGCGGAGACAAAGACAAGUUUACCUUCUCUACUUUUUCCUCUCUAUUCCUCCCCUAUGCCCUUUCAAUUUUCUCUUUCACACACUUACUCACCUGUCAUUUACUUUUGCUUAUAGUUUUGCUAAAAUUUUAAGUCUUUACAUGGUUGUCUUAUUCUCUAACUCAACAAUUGUUAAUUUGUAUAUAUUUCAAUCUUUUUUGAAUCAGGAAGCGGCAGCACUUGCAGCUACUGAGGUUGCAUUCAUGCUGCAGGCAGGGCAACG
rnacentral:misc_RNA from 1 species